AGGAUUUGGUGAUGUUGGUGGCUCUUGUCAGUUUGUUUUUCUCUUCUGGAGACUGGGGUGACUGGUGACAUCAUCAAUGUCAGCGAUAUGGCUUGGCAGUAGAGAAGCAGGUGUGCGUGGGGCGAGCGGAGUGUCCUAACAGGCUGUCUGCAUGCUGGAGUCUCCAAAGCCCGACCCAGGGCUGGGCGGCUGGCCAGCGAGUUCCCGGGGGACAGGAGGAAGUUGCUGGGGACACGCGUAACCGCAGCACUUCGGGUUCUCAGAGGUGCCAGGGCUUCCCUGUGGGUAGGUAAGUAGAGAGUCGCGUCGAGGGAGUGGAGGAAGCAUAAUGCUGCCACCCAUUAAUAACUGGACUUGUAGGUUAGGCAGUUUCUGAGACACAGAAGGAAAGCACAAGAUUUAGAGAAGGUUUUCGUGAACAGCAGCUGCCCUACACCGAGUUGGCGAGCAUUCACCACAGCUCGCUACAAAAUUGGAUGACUUUCUUCGCAAGCUACAAGGUCUGGAAUUAGGAGUUGCUAGUUUUCUGCUCACUAUCACUGUCCAAGAACUUGUUACUGUGUUCCAGGCUCGGUCACCAGCCCUCUUCUCUGGUACAUCUCACAGGAGCAAAAGACUGCUCCUUCUUCGGGGUCAUCGGUGUCCACACACCUCACCUGACCUUCAGGGAAGUAGAAGCUAAAAGCAGUUUCCCAGUGAACGCCCUGCAAGAGGCUCACAAAGCUGCCUUUCCUGCCCACAGCUAUGGGGCUGGACAAAGUCACCUGGGCUCAUUAGCGGACCCUCCUACUGACACCUCUCAGAGGAGGUGAGAAAAUGGGACCAAUCCAUUCAAACCACCUGUUAGAAAAUGUCUCACUGUAGAGAAACUUUUUUUUUUUCCGAGACAGGGUUUCCCUGUAUAGCCCUGGCUGUCCUGGAACUCACAUGUCCAGAUGCACAGGGUAUCGGAGUGACCAUCUGCAUAGCCAGGCUCAGAGCCCCCAGCGCUCUGAUGGAUUCGCUUGUUUAUUUAAACACCUUUGAUUUAAAUCCUUAGUCUCCCCACCCCUCUAGCCCAGUCUGGCCUCCAAGCUCACAGAUAGAGAACUGCUAAUCUCUUCCUCUUGAGUGACGUCCUUAAACGUUUGUGUCUCUCCUCCCAGCAAAUUUGCAUUUC
rnacentral:lncRNA from 1 species